rnacentral:rRNA from 1 species
CCUACGGGAGGCAGCAGUGGGGAAUUUUGGACAAUGGGCGAAAGCCUGAUCCAGCAAUGCCGCGUGCAGGAUGAAGGCCCUCGGGUUGUAAACUGCUUUUGUACGGAACGAAAAGCCUGAGGCUAAUAUCCUCGGGUCAUGACGGUACCGUAAGAAUAAGCACCGGCUAACUACGUGCCAGCAGCCGCGGUAAU